rnacentral:misc_RNA from 1 species
UGUUGAUCAGUUGGCUGGAAUGGUAAGGGAGCAACUUUCUUUUUUCCUUUACCAUCUGGAUCUUUUGAUUUUUUUUUCCCCUCUUUUUCUUCUCCCUCUUUUAUUUCCCUUAUAAAUAAUUGAGGGUACACUGGACAACUUCUCUGUUAGUUUGAUUUGAAUUUUUGAAAUAAGCGUCAUUCACCUGGCAUGUGCACUGAAUCUUGUGUCAGUUUUAAGCAUGACUGGCUGCAGACUGGGGAAUGGUAGGGGAAGAUUAUGACAUCUUCUUCACUAGGAAAUAUACCCUGCUGUCCUACCCAGUUCCCCAAUCCCUAGUCAGGAAAGGGUGGGUCCUAGUCCACUCUCCUAUGCAUGAAACAGGGUCAAUCUUUCCCUAUUCACCAUGAAAUUCUCAUCCAUUCUCUUGAACCCAUCUCACCACAGUCAUCCAAAGUCUCUAGAAAAGAAAAGAAAAGAA